rnacentral:rRNA from 1 species
GGCGAACGCUGGCGGCGUGCUUAACACAUGCAAGUCGAACGGAAAGGCCCUGCUUUUGUGGGGUGCUCGAGUGGCGAACGGGUGAGUAACACGUGAGUAACCUGCCCCUGACUUUGGGAUAACUUCAGGAAACUGGGGCUAAUACCGGAUAGGAGCUCCUGCUGCAUGGUGGGGGUUGGAAAGUUUCGGCGGUUGGGGAUGGACUCGCGGCUUAUCAGCUUGUUGGGCGGGUAGUGGCUUACCACGGCUUUGACGGGUAGCCCGCCUGGGAGGGUGACCGGGCACAUUGCGACUGCGGUACGGACCAGACUCCUACGGGCGGCAGCAGUCGAGAAUAUUGCACAAUGGGCGCAAGCCUGAUGCAGCAACGCCGCGUGCGGGAUGCCGGCCUUCGGGUUGUAAACCACUUUCGCCUGUGACGAGGCGUGAUUGACGGUAAUGGGUAAAGAAGCACCGGCUAACUACGUG